GUUCCUCCCAGUCGGGCUGGGGACACCGUGAGGAGGCGCUGUCACCUGCCGCCACCACAGCACGGGCGCACACCCCACGCCCAGAGCCUUCCCUCCAGUGUAGACGCAGCGUGUCCUCCCGGGGAGAGUGGUGGCCCAGCGUCUCCAGCUCUGUAGCCCACACGCCUACCAUGGCCCUACCCAGCCGGCCAGAAGAUCGCCACAAGACACACGACACAGGACUCUGGGGAGGAGAGACUUCCGGUCCCUCAGCGCGGGCUACGAUCUCACAGGCAGUAACCUUAGCCUGCCCUGCAGAGGAGUUGGAUGGUGAGCAGGCCUCAGAGUUUCCAAGCUUGCCUGGGACAGGUGUCCAGUGUGAGGUGCAGCUGGUGGAGUCUGGAGGAGGCUUGGUCCAGCCUGGGGGGUCCCUGAGACUCUCCUGUGCAGCCUCUGGAUUCACCUUCAGUAGUUACUGGAUGAACUGGGUCCGCCAGGCUCCAGGGAAGGGGCUGGAGUGGGUCGCAGACAUUAAUGGUGAUGGUGGUAGCACAAACUAUGCAGACGCUGUGAAGGGCCGAUUCACCAUCUCCAGAGACAAUGCCAAGAACUCGCUGUAUCUGCAAAUGAACAGCCUGAGAGCCGAGGACACAGCACUGUACUACUGCGCUACAGACACAGUGAGGGGACAUCAUUGAGAGCCCAGACACAAACCUCCUGCGGGGGUUGCAGGGCCGCAGGGGGCGCACGAGACAAAAUGAGCAGUGUCAGCCCAGGGCAGGUGCAGGUGGAGGGGCAUGACUGGUUUUCUCUCAGGGAUGUGGCUUCCUCUCCAUAAAACAGUUUCCUCUGGGGAACUUCUCUGAAUUCAUGAUUCUGUGCUUCCCUCUGCAGUCUCUGAGUUAGAUAUGUUUGUGGUAAUGAGAGAAAAUAUUCUCAGUUACACAAAAGGAAGAGAGGGGCUUCCAGUCACUUUCUCCUGUCCCCAAAUGUGCAUUAAUUAUCAACACUUCUGACUAACUCUGAUGUUCUCUGACUAACUCUGAUUAGAGGCAGAUGGACUCAGCAUCCUAAGAAAAGACCCUGUGGUUAUCUGUGUCCCAGAUUCAGGUUCACAACAUCGAUUAUAUCUGACACAAUUCAAGGGCAGAGAAACACCACCGACAUUUAGUGUAGAUGUUGACUCUGAUGGUGU